CUUGGGGGAAGCUUUAAACAUGCAAGGUCGACGGUCUCUUCGGAGAUAGUGGCGGACGGGUGAGUAACGCGUGAGAAUCUAGCUUCAGGUCGGGGACAACCACUGGAAACGGUGGCUAAUACCGGAUGUGCCGAAAGGUGAAAGAUUUAUUGCCUGAAGAUGAGCUCGCGUCUGAUUAGCUAGUUGGUGUGGUAAGAGCGCACCAAGGCGACGAUCAGUAGCUGGUCUGAGAGGAUGAUCAGCCACACUGGGACUGAGACACGGCCCAGACUCCUACGGGAGGCAGCAGUGGGGAAUUUUCCGCAAUGGGCGAAAGCCUGACGGAGCAAUACCGCGUGAGGGAGGAAGGCUCUUGGGUUGUAAACCUCUUUUCUCAGGGAAUAAAAAAAUGAAGGUACCUGAGGAAUAAGCAUCGGCUAACUCCGUGCCAGCAGCCGCGGUAAUACGGAGGAUGCAAGCGUUAUCCGGAAUGAUUGGGCGUAAAGCGUCCGCAGGUGGCACUGUAAGUCUGCUGUUAAAGAGCAAGGCUCAACCUUGUAAAGGCAGUGGAAACUACAGAGCUAGAGUACGUUCGGGGCAGAGGGAAUUCCUGGUGUAGCGGUGAAAUGCGUAGAAAUA
rnacentral:rRNA from 1 species